UGUGCAAAUCAAUAUAAAUUGAUUAAAUUUUAUUUACUGUUUUUAAAAAUUAUUAAAAAUAAUUAUAUAGAUUAAAAGGUUUGGUAUUUAAUAAAGAAUAAAUAAAUUUAGUUAUAGUGUAGUAGUAUUGUAAAAGAAUAUUGAAAUAUUUUGAAAAAUUAUUAUUAUUAAAGAAAAUUUUAUUUGUUGUACCUUGUGUAUCAGGGUUUAUUAAAUAAAAUAUAUUAAGUUUAUAUUUCUCGAUUUUAAAAGAGUUAAUAAAAUAUUUUAUAUAAUGUGAUAAAAUUAUUAAAAAUAUUUUAUUAGAAAUGAAAUGUUAUUCGUUUUUAAAGGUAUCUAGUUUUUUAAGAAAUAAAUUUAAUUUAGAAGUUUUUAUUUUUAUACUGUUGAUUUAAUAAUAGUAUGAAUUAAAAAUUUUAGUAUUUUAUGGGAUAAGCUAUAAAAUAAAUUUUUAAAAAUAAAUAAUUUUUAAAAUAAAUAUAUGCUUAGAAUUAGCAAUUAUUAAUAAUUAUGUUAUAAUUUAUUUUAUAAAAAAGAUUAUUUACUUAAUUUUAAAUUUUUUUAUUAAAAUGUUAAUUUUAAUUUUAUAAGUUAAUCAAUAAUGAUAGAAUUAGUAUAUUUUUUAUGUAAUAAUUAAAGUUAUAAUGAUAAGUUUAAUUAAAGAAUUCGGCAAAUAUAAUGUUCGCUUGUUUAACAAAAACAUGGCCUUUAGAAAUUAAUUUAAGGUCUGACCUGCCCACUGAAUUUUAAAUGGCCGCAGUAUUUUAACUGUGCAAAGGUAGCAUAAUCAUUAGUUUUUUAAUUGAAAGCUUGUAUGAAUGGUUGGACGAAAUAUUAACUGUUUCAUUUAAAUUUAUAAUAGAAUUUUAUUUUUUAGUUAAAAAGCUAAAAUAAAGUUAAAAGACGAGAAGACCCUAUAGAUCUUAAUAAUUUUAUUAAUUUUAUUUAUAAAGAUUAUUUAGAAUAUAAUUGAUAGAUUAUUUUAUUGGGGUGAUAUUAAGAUUUAAUAAACUCUUAAAUUUUUUAAUACAUUAAUUUAUGAAUAGUUGAUCCAUUAUUAAUGAUUAUUAAACUAAGUUACCUUAGGGAUAACAGCGUAAUUUUUUUUGAGAGUUCAUAUCGAUAAAAAAGAUUGCGACCUCGAUGUUGGAUUAAGAGAUAAUUUUAGGUGUAGCCGCUUAAAUUUUAAGUCUGUUCGACUUUUAGAUUCUUACAUGAUCUGAGUUCAAACCGGCGUAAGCCAGGUUGGUUUCUAUCUUUAAUCUAUUGAAAUAUUUUAGUACGAAAGGACCAAAUAUUUAAAAAAUUAUUUUUUUUUAUAAGAAUUAAAUUAAGAUGAAUUAAA
rnacentral:rRNA from 1 species